rnacentral:rRNA from 1 species
GUGGGGAAUUUUCCGCAAUGGGCGAAAGCCUGACGGAGCAAUGCCGCGUGGAGGUGGAAGGCCUACGGGUCGUCAACUUCUUUUCUCGGAGAAGAAACAAUGACGGUAUCUGAGGAAUAAGCAUCGGCUAACUCUGUGCUAG